CUCCGAUGUCUGAUGUGCAGGAUGAGAACCUGCUGCAGGUUCGACUGAAUCGCCAGCAUCACCCGAAGGGCGAGGCCCGCAGGGCCGAAGGCAAUCCUGCACGACCCACCA
rnacentral:sRNA from 1 species